rnacentral:rRNA from 1 species
UGGGGAAUAUUGGACAAUGGGCGAAAGCCUGAUCCAGCAACGCCGCGUGAGGGAUGACGGCCUUCGGGUUGUAAACCUCUUUCGCCUGCGACGAAGCGAGAGUGACGCUAGCAGGUAAAGAAGCACCGGCCAACUACGUGCCAGCAGCCGCGGUAAUACGUAGGGUGCGAGCGUUGUCCGGAAUUAUUGGGCGUAAAGGGCUCGUAGGCGGUUUGUCACGUCGGGAGUGAAAACACAGGGCUUAACUCUGUGCCUGCUUCCGAUACGGGCAGACUAGAGGUAUGCAGGGGAGAACGGAAUUCCUGGUGUAGCGGUGAAAUGCGCAGAUAUCAGGAGGAACACCGGUGGCGAAGGCGGUUCUCUGGGCAUUACCUGACGCUGAGGAGCGAAAGUGUGGGGAGCGAACA